GGUUAAAGUUCAGAAGCUGCCUGGCAAAAACAUCCCAGGGAUCAGCUGCAUCGUUGCUGGCAGAUAACCCCAGUUAGCAGAGAAAACCCUUGUCAGGGCUCCUGAGCUGUCCCUCCUUCCAGCAGCUUGGCUCACGAAGGCCCCUAACCAGUCUUUCCAGUACCCAUCCCCGGUUACAACUGGAUUAACGGAAUCUUCGUAUUUAUUUUUUUCCAAUAUGAACAAUGAUCCCGUACUCUAUUGACCAGCACGCCGCUUCGCCAUCUAGCUAAUUUUUAGUAAGAUAAACCCACAGGCCAUCUGUCGGUUUGAAAGAUCCAGAUGUAGAACUCUCAGCUACCUCUCGAGCAUCAUAUCUGCCAGCACACUGCCAGGCUUCCCUUUCUGAUGAUAAUGGAUUAAACCUCCGAAACUGUAAGCCAGCCACAAUUGAAUGUUUUCCUUCCUAAGAGUUGCUGUGGGCAUGAUGUCUCUUCACAGCACUGGAAACCCUGACUAAGACAGCUUCUUUUGUGAGAGCCUGAAAGCUAAGAAUGUGGAGAGGAAUGCAGACAGUAGACACCUAGCUUGUGAUGUUUCCAAAGAGACAAAGACUCUCUCAGGACCACGUUUCUGUGAUAUUUUGAAUUAAGGGUCUGUGGUUGCAAGUAUCAGCAGUGAUGAAUGAGGGGCCGCCACCACCGCAAACAAACUUUCUGUGCUUUGCUGGGACAAGGAAUGCUGGUCAGCUGGGGCUGCAAAUAUCAGCUGUGAUUAAUUCUUUAAAAAAUGAGCAUCGUUGAAGUGUAAUGUGUGCCUCACUGGGGCAGUGGAGAAGUUUAUCUUCAAGAUCAGCAUACAGAAGCUGUGGUCCAAAGGGUCCAAGGCUUUUGGGCAUCAAAAUGGCAGCAGGAUGUGAUGAAUAAUGUAUAGGCAUCUCCCAUGUGGUGCUGGUUUUGAAGACAUGAAGGGGUCAUGUAGCGCACUUGAGGCUUGACACCUGGUUGCAGUGCUGGAACCCUGCAGAGAGACCCUGAGACGCUACUGGUGAAGAUGAAGCCUUAGUUGUAUAGACCCUAGAAUAUUGGAGGUGCCAGGGCCAUGUCCACUAAGGACAGUAGCAGGUGUAGAGUAGAACCAGGUUGAGCCCACAGUGUGUGCUAAGGAUAGCAGAGCUAGAGAGGUGAGACCACCUGAACACUAUGGAGCCCAGAAGAUCUGAGUGAUCCUCAGAUGCCAGACAAUGAGCUACGGGAUUUUAUUUUCAUGGAUUCCUGGGGUUUUGCUUUAGCUUGAUUGCUCCUGUGCUCUGGUCUUUUUCUUUCAGAAUAAGAAGUAUGUAACUAUGAUGUUGGGGUUUUUUUUGUUAUUGUUUUAUAAGAGUCAACCAUCUCUAACUCUAGUUUUGGGGUACCUGACACCCUCUUCUGGCCUCUAUACCACAGGCAGGCAUGUGGCACACAUAUACAUAACAGAAAAAAUACUGAUAUGCAUAAAAUAAAAAUAAAUGUUUUAAAAGUUG